AUUGAACGCUGGCGGCAGGCCUAACACAUGCAAGUCGAGCGGAUGAGGGAAGCUUGCUUCCCGAUUUAGCGGCGGACGGGUGAGUAAUGCCUAGGAAUCUGCCUAUUAGUGGGGGAUAACGUUCCGAAAGGAACGCUAAUACCGCAUACGUCCUACGGGAGAAAGUGGGGGAUCUUCGGACCUCACGCUAAUAGAUGAGCCUAGGUCGGAUUAGCUAGUUGGUGGGGUAACGGCUCACCAAGGCGACGAUACGUAGCUGGUCUGAGAGGAUGAUCAGCCACACUGGAACUGAGACACGGUCCAGACUCCUACGGGAGGCAGCAGUGGGGAAUAUUGGACAAUGGGCGAAAGCCUGAUCCAGCCAUGCCGCGUGUGUGAAGAAGGUCUUCGGAUUGUAAAGCACUUUAUGUUGGGAGGAAGGGUUGUAAGCUAAUAUCUUGCAGCUUUGACGUUACCAACAGAAUAAGCACCGGCUAACUCUGUGCCAGCCGCCGCCGUAAAAC
rnacentral:rRNA from 1 species